rnacentral:rRNA from 1 species
GAUGAACGCUGGCGGCAUGCCUUACACAUGCAAGUCGAACGGCAGCACGGGUGCUUGCACCUGGUGGCGAGUGGCGAACGGGUGAGUAAUACAUCGGAACGUACCUUAUCGUGGGGGAUAACGCAGCGAAAGCUGUGCUAAUACCGCAUACGCCCUGAGGGGGAAAGCGGGGGAUCGAAAGACCUCGCGCGAUUAGAGCGGCCGAUGCCUGAUUAGCUUGUUGGUGGGGUAAAAGCCCACCAAGGCGACGAUCAGUAGCUGGUCUGAGAGGACGAUCAGCCACACUGGGACUGAGACACGGCCCAGACUCCUACGGGAGGCAGCAGUGGGGAAUUUUGGACAAUGGGCGCAAGCCUGAUCCAGCAAUGCCGCGUGCAGGAAGAAGGGCCUUCGGGUUGUAAACUGCUUUGUACGGAACGAAAAGGACUCUGGUUAAUACCUGGGGCUCAUGACGGUACCGUAAGAUAAGCACCGGCUAACUACGUGCCAG